rnacentral:rRNA from 1 species
UUGACCUCAAAUCAGGUAGGAUUACCCGCUGAACUUAAGCAUAUCAAUAAGCGGAGGAAAAGAAACUAACAAGGAUUCCCCUAGUAACUGCGAGUGAAGCGGGAAAAGCUCAAAUUUAAAAUCUGGUAGCUUUUGCUGCCCGAGUUGUAAUCUAGAGAAGCAUUAUCGGUGCUGGCGCGUGUACAAGUGUCCUGGAAUGGACCAUCAUAGAGGGUGAGAAUCCCGUCUUUGACACGACUGCCUAGUGCUUUGUGAUGUGCUCUCAAAGAGUCGAGUUGUUUGGGAAUGCAGCUCUAAAUGGGUGGUAAAUUCCAUCUAAAGCUAAAUAUUGGCGAGAGACCGAUAGCGAACAAGUACCGUGAGGGAAAGAUGAAAAGAACUUUGGAAAGAGAGUUAAACAGUACGUGAAAUUGCUGAAAGGGAAACGCUUGAAGUCAGUCGCGUUGGCUGGGGAUCAACCUUGCUUUUUUGCUUGGCUUACUUCCCAGUUGACGGGUCAGCAUCAGUUUUGACCAGUGGAUAAAGGUUAGGGGAAUGUGGCACCUCUGGGUGUGUUAUAGCCCCUGGUCAUAUACAUUGGUUGGGACUGAGGAACUCAGCACUUGUGUGCUUAGGAUGCUGGCAUAAUGGCUUUAAGCGACCCGUCUUGAAACACGGACCAAGGAGUCUAACAUGCCCGCGAGUGUUUGGGUGGAAAACCCGAGCGCGUAAUGAAAGUGAAAGUUGAGAUCCCUGUCGUGGGG